rnacentral:rRNA from 1 species
AAUAGAUACCCUGGUAGUCCAUGCCGUAAACGUUGGGCACUAGGUGUGGGGCUCGUCCCACGAGUUCCGUGCCGCAGCAAACGCAUUAAGUGCCCCGCCUGGGGAGUACGGCCGCAAGGCUAAAACUCAAAGGAAUUGACGGGGGCCCGCACAAGCGGCGGAGCAUGCUGAUUAAUUCGAUGCAACGCGAAGAACCUUACCAAGGCUUGACAUAUACCGAAAACUCAUGGAGACAUGGGGUCCGCAAGGGCGGUAUACAGGUGGUGCAUGGUUGUCGUCAGCUCGUGUCGUGAGAUGUUGGGUUAAGUCCCGCAACGAGCGCAACCCUCGUCCUAUGUUGCCAGCGCGUUAUGGCGGGGACUCAUAGGAGACUGCCGGGGUCAACUCGGAGGAAGGUGGGGAUGAGGUCAAAUCAUCAUGCCCCUUAUGUCUUGGGCUUCAAGCAUGCUACAAUGGCCGGUACAAAGGGCUGCGAUACCGCAAGGUGGAGCGAAUCCCAAAAAGCCGGUCUCAGUUCGGAUUGGGGU